UGGGUAAUUUUGCACAAUGGGGGAAACCCUGAUGCAGCGACGCCGCGUUAUUUAGAAGGCCUUCGGGUUGUAAAAAUCUUUUCUAUGGGAAGAAAAUGACAGUACCAUAGGAAUAAGGACCGGCUAAUUACGUGCCAGCAGCCGCGGUAAUACGUAAGGUCCGAGCGUUGUCCGGAAUCAUUGGGCGUAAAGGGUACGUAGGCGGGUAAGCAAGUUAGAAGUGAAAUCCUGUAGCUCAACUACAGUAAGCUUUUAAAACUGCUCAUCUUGAGAUAUGGAAGGGAAAGUGGAAUUCCUAGUGUAGCGGUGAAAUGCGUAGAUAUUAAAAAGAAUACCGGUGGCGAAGGCGACUUACUGGGCUCAUUCUGACGCUGAGGAACGAAAGCGUGGGUAGCAAACAGG
rnacentral:rRNA from 1 species